ensembl:rRNA 5S_rRNA 5S ribosomal RNA
GUCUAUGGCCAUACCACCCUGAAGGUGCCCAAUUUCAUCUGAUCUCAGAGGGCCAGGGGCGGGUCUGAUUGGUACUUGGAUGAGAGAAGAAUAUUAACGUGGUGAGCU